GAUAGUGUAGCGUAGGGUCUCGUCAAUCUUGCCAAGGUUGGGGUCGAGGGUUCGAAUCCCUUCGCCCGCUCCA
rnacentral:tRNA from 1 species